rnacentral:rRNA from 1 species
AGCAGCCGCGGUAAUUCCAGCUCCAAUAGCGUAUAUUAAAGUUGUUGCAGUUAAAAAGCUCGUAGUUGAAUUUCGGGAUCAGUUCGCUGGUCGUGCCUUCGGUAUGUACUGGUGUUACUGGUUCCUACCUUCUGACGAAUCGUCAUGUCAUUAAUUUGGUGUGGCGGGGAAUCAGGACUGUUACUUUGAAAAAUUAGAGUGUUUAAAGCAGGCUCGCGCUUGAAUACAUUAGCAUGGAAUAAUGAAAUAGGACGUUCGAUCCUAUUUUGUUGGUUUCUAGGAUUGACGUGAUGAUUAAUAGGGAUAGUUGGGGGCAUUAGUAUUCAAUUGUCAGAGGUGAAAUUCUUGGAUUUAUUGAAGACUAACUACUGCGAAAGCAUUUGCCAAGGAUGUUUUCAUUAAUCAAGAACGAAAGUUAGGGGAUCGAAGACGAUCAGAUACCGUCGUAGU